AUAUCUCAAUGUUUGAACGUUAUUGACUUGUAACAAGGAUUUUAUAGCCCUAUGAUAUUGUUUUCUUUGCUUGUAGAUUGGUAUUGUUUUAAAGAAGAUGUUUGAAGAUGGCAUAGUGAAGCGUGAGGAUCUGUGGAUUACCUCCAAGCUCUGGUUUGUCUCAGUUUGAUUUUGGCUUGAUUGAAAAUAUUAACAUUAUAGCAACAAUAGCUAUCUGUUACUCUUUAUCUUAAGAUGCUGCUGUUGCAGUGCUGCUUGUACUAUCUACUAAUUCAUUUUCCUUUUCUAGAGUAAACUGGUCUCUUGCAGUUCUUAGCUUCUACCAUUUACAACUUAAAUUAUUUGCAGGUGUACUGAUCAUGGACCAGAAGAUGUGCCAGAGGCACUAAACAGAACAUUGCGAGACUUGCAGCUCGACUACAUUGAUUUAUAUCUUGUAUGUGUUGCCUUAGUUAUUUGUUAAAAGUAACUAGAAGAAUGUGUCAUCCAAUAAAUAUUGCAGGUCUUUGGACCCUAUCAAAGUUCUGUGAAGUUUGCAGAAAGAAAAGGUCAAAACUGAUGAAAGGCAUUCCUCAGAAGAUGGACUCUUGUUAAUGCCAUAUUUAGAUCUUUGAGUGAAAUUUGCAAUAUGGCCAAAUCUUUGAGUCCCUUGAUUCUGCAACCUUGUCUGUAUCUUAGGAACUUAGAAAUUGAACCGUACUUUGAAUAAUUGAUAAUCUGCAUUUUAAUUUAGAUUGCAUUAUUCAGGAGAUUAUUUGAUUGUAACUAAAUGCGGCUGAUUCUUGUAGAUCCAUUGGCCGGUCCGUAUGAAAAAGGGUUCUGUUGGCUUCAAACCUGAAAACCUCACCCAACCAGAUAUACCAAGCACAUGGAGAGCAAUGGAAGCACUCUGUGAUUCUGGCAAGGCUCGAGCUAUUGGUGUAAGCAAUUUCUCCACAAAGAAACUGGGGGACCUGUUGGAGAUUGCACGUGUUCCUCCAGCUGUCGACCAAGUGGAGUGUCAUCCUUCAUGGGACCAGAGAAAACUGCGUGCCUUUUGCAAAUCCAGGGGGGUUCACCUAAGUGUAAGUAGUCAAUCCUUAAUUUACUUUGAAAUUUGGGUUAGCUCCUUAUAUUGUUGAAGAGCAUAUCUUAAUUUACUCAUUAUUUUGAUUCAGCUAUGCGCGCGCAUCUAGAACUAUAAUAAUUUUUUUCUUUAAUUUUGAUUUGCAUGUAUCUUUCAGGGGUAUUCACCAUUGGGUUCUCCAGGUACAACAUGGCUCAAAAGUGACGUCCUUAAGCAUCCAGUUCUGAAAACGGUUGCAGAGAAAUUGGGCAAAUCUCCUGCACAGGUUGCUCUUCGCUGGGGCCUGCAAAUGGGUCAGAGCGUGCUUCCCAAGAGUACACAUGAAUCAAGGAUCAAGGAGAAUUUUGAUGUGUUUGGGUGGUCUAUACCUGAAGACCUGUUUGCUAAGUUUUCUGACAUUGAGCAGGCAAGUAGUUCUUUUCCUCAUUGCCUCUGUCGAUUCCCCCUAUGAUCAUGGCUCCUAGUAAUUGUUUAAUAGUGGGCCGCUAUAUUGCCAUUGUAACUGCCAGUAGCAUUAUGCACCUAGCACCAAUAAAUUAGAGUUAAAACAGCAGAAAGAUUGCGAAUGUCAGUUAUACUCUAUUAUUUCCUGUUGCAUAUGAAGCUUUUUACUGAUUCCUUUAGCGACUGGAUGAUUGGAUGGUGUAUGUGAUGAUAUACAAGUGUAGGAUCAUUUGAGAGGCACAGGAUCUUGUGCCAGAUACUCUUCUCCUGACCUUUUCUAAUAAUAAAAAUAUUUUGGUUUUUAACUGUGCAGGCAAGACUUCUCAGAGGAAGCUCAUUUGCCCAUGAGACCUUGGGCCACUACAAGACUGUUGAGGAACUUUGGGAUGGUGAGCUCUGAUCAGACAAUUUAGUGAAUAUUUGCAGUGACGGGUUGCGCUUUUUGAUAGGGAGAGGUGUGUGGGUUAGUGUCCCUCUCAUAUCAGCAACGUUUACUUGAUUGGUACUCUGGACUGUUUAGUUUCAGUGAGACGUGAUAAUAAAACAAUGCUUUUGAUUUCCAUAGAAAGUUGGAAGUAUAGAAAGCAAUGGUACAUGCUCCAAAAUUGAGAAAAAGAAAAUGUUUCAAUGCUAUGCAAUCCAAAAUUUUUAGGCUGAAUAAUUCAAGAAAUUAUGUAGAUGUUAGUGAAACUGAACUAAAAAGACAAUAAGUAGAUUCAGUCGUUAGGAUUAUCAACUCAGAGAGCAUAAAAUAUUCCAAAUAAUGGCUAGUUAUUGUGAAUUCAGUUUAGGUGAAUUGCUAAUUAAAUCAGGUUCAGCUUGAAUUGGGCGUAAGGUGUCGUCCAGUUCAGCUUGCCACCAUUCCCUCCUAAUAAAAGAGGAAAAUUAACUUGAGCGUAAUUUUGAUAGCAGUUGCAUUUUUCGACUCGGUAAACCAAAAUGCAUUAUAUUUUUAUAUUUCAAAUUUUAUAUAUAUCAUCAUCUGUGGCACUCCUGUGGAUUUGGAAAACACCACAUCCCCAUCCCCAACCCCACCUCUUUCUUUUUUCCUUUUUGGGCUCCAUCUUAAUCGCUUGAAUGGUUGACCACUGCCUAUUCAGUAACAAGGACUCGGAUAAGGUGAGUUCUCAAGGAAUUUUGUGUGUAUUUAUUUAGGUGUAUGUAACAAGAUACACAAAAGCAGCAUGAUCAAGGGGCAAUAAAUAAAUAGGGGAAAAAGGAUUUGACAUGGGUUAUGUUUGGUUCAAUCAGUGAAAUUGUGCUUGAAGCUGCUUUUGGAUGAACCUUUUGCAAAUCAAGUUUCCAAAUUAGUAUUUUCCUUAGUAAUGUUAUAUGGCUGACAUUAUAUUUAAAUAAAUGAGAGAAUGUUAUGAGUAGUAUUUAGAUUCUAAUUUGGAAAUAUUUAUACUAAAAGAAGUGUUUCUCGAUUUAUUGUCUCCUAAAGUGUUCUUAUCAUCACAUUUAUAUGCAUUUUACAUCCUAUCAUUAUUUUAUUUUUUAUUUUGUUUAAUUAAUCUCUUUAUUAUUUUAUGUUUUAUUUAAUUAAUCUUUUUUUAAGAACCUAAAAAUCGAUUUAAAUAGUAUUUCUCUUUUAAAAAACUAAUUAAAAUAAUUUUAACAUGAAAAUUUAAAUAUAAUUACCAAAAGUUUUAGAAAAAAAACAUAGAUGAUUAAAUACAUAUAUUAGUAUGAUACAUUUUUUCCUCUCUAAUAAUAUUUUAGUUCUAAUUAUUUAAUUAUUCUAUUCAACAAUAAAUUAUUUAGAUAAAUAUUAGUUUAUUUAACUUCUUAAAAACAUAAAAAUAAAUACAAAUAUUAAUUUUUUUAAUUAAAUUGUUUUUGAAUCCAAAUUUAAAACAAAAAGCCUCUUUAAUAUAUACUCAAUUCUCCAAUAAUAAUAAUAAUAAUAAUAAUAAUAGUUUUCAUUCUUCAUUUAUUCAAUAAAAAAUAAGUGUAAAUUAUGUUUCUCCUUUCAAUAUGAAUAGUUAAAUGUUAUUAUCAAAUUUCAUAAUAAAAAUUUAGGUAAUGCUUUAAAAAAAAAAAUCAUAAUUUAAUAAUAUUUUUAUUAUAUUACUUAUAUCUACCUUAAUUUAUUCUAAUUAUAUAAGAAAUUCAUGCAUAUAUCUAUUUUCUCAUUGACAAUAACUUUUUCAUUUAUAACCUAUAAUGACCUUUCAAUUCAUAUUGGUUCCUUCAUGUCAAGCUUUAUCAUUUUUUGGACUAUUAUUUUUAUUAAAACAUGAUUGUUAAAACUAUUUAUUCGAUUCAAACAAAAUUUAUGAGUUAUUAAAUGUUUAAUUCUAUAUACACUCAAUAAAUAUAAAUAAAAGAAUAUUUUAUAAGAACAAUAGAAAUGGAAGCAAACUUACAAAAAGUCCAAUGCCUCCCCAUUAUACAAAUUCAUCCAUACUUAACCAACAAAAUAUCAAGUGGAAUGAGCUUAUACAAAAUAAAAAUAUACAAAGUCCAAAACAAAUAUUCAAAUCUAAAUUAAAUAAACUCAAAAAUAAACUUCAAAUUAAUCUAAUUAAAUUUAGUUCAAAUUAACAAAUAUAACUCACCUAAAAUAUCUCACAUUUUACCAAUUUGAUAUCAAGUAAAAAAAAAAAAAAAUACAAGCCUAAAAUCCGAUAACAAUAAUAAUACAAAAAAAAAAAAAAACCAACCUACACCCAAUCAAACGUUCCAAUAGUUCAAUAGUUUGGUCCUAAAUUAAUAAAUAAAUCCAAAUUGAAUUCCACACAAACAAAAUCAAUUACUUUACGAACCAAAAUAAAAAAUAAAAAUAAAACGAAAAUAAAAUAAAGUAAAAGGGAAAUAGCCGGAGUUGCUAGUCGGCGGUGGCCGGCGGUGUGGAGUUGAGGGAGGAAGAAAGAAGAAAAAAAAUAAUAAAAUGAAUAAUAAAAAGGGAAAAUGAGUGAGGUGAGAAAGCGAAGGCAGGGAAGAAUGAGAGAGGGGAAGGGGGGUCGCCGGCCGGCAGUGGUUCGCCAGCGGCAACUGGCCAGCCGUGUUGGAGAUGUCGGUGGAGUGGGCUAGGUUGGGGAGGAAGGAGCGAAUAAAAAUAAAAAUAAAAAAAGUGGGGGAAGAAGGAAGAAAAAAAAAAAAAAGAGAGAAAAAUGGGAAAGAAAGAGAGAGGAGAGGGGGGGGGAAGAAAAAAAAGAAGGGGAGAAAAUGGGGAGGAAAGAGGGUAGUAUUAUAUCAAAAAUUAAGGGUAGUAUUAAAAAAAAUAAAAAUACUUUUUAAUAAGUUUUUAAUUCAUAUCUCUUAUCAAACACUAGUUGCCCAAGUGCUACCCUUACGUAUAUUAACUAUUAAGGGUAGUAUUAUAACUUCCAUAAAUUGAGUAAUGGAUUUUUUUCUACAAAAUAUUAUAAUGAUACCGAGAAUGUUAAAUUGUAAAAUAUAUAUUACUAAAUUACCAAAAUAGGUUCAACUUGCUUUCUAAAAUUAAAACUGCUUUAAAUUUGAUAAAAAUUUGAGUACCUUUAAUAAAAUUAGUGUAGCAAUUUAAAAAUGAAAUUUUCCUACCAAUGAUAAAUAUAUAUAUAUUUAAAAUUUUAAAAUUAGAUUUUUAAUUACCUUUUUAAUUCAUGCUGCCGUACAUAUUAUCUUUAAAACCUCUUUUACAUAAAUAAAAAAUAAAAAAUAAAUUAAAUAAUUAUAAUAUAUGAGUUGGUGCAAGAUAAUUAUUUUUAGUGAAAAAGGAAAAAAAAGGGAGUUUACGCUUAAAAGGCAAAAGGAUUGAGGUGCGGUUUCGUUAUCUUUUGAAACAGAAAAAGAUAGAUGUCCACGUAAGAUUCGAUAUUAUCUUCAAAUCCAAUGUGGAUUUUUUUAAAAUAAAAAUAUUUUGGUUCGAUUUUUGUGGCCACAAAAUGUAACGUUAAGACAGCAAGAGCAAGAUGCGACAGGAGAGGAGCUUCUGACACUCUUACCUUCUUUUUUUUUUCACAUCUUUGGAGUCUGUAGAGUAGUCCAUCUUCAGAUCAUCUGGAAAUGUCGGACGACAUCCGGUUCUUUCAACUCAACACUGGAGCUAAGAUGCCUUCGGUAGGGUUGGGUACGUGGCAGUCAGAUCCAGGUCUUGUCGGCCAGGCUGUAGCCAUCGCCAUCAAGGUCUCUCUUCUUCUUCUUUAUGACUUCUUGCUCUAUGGUUACAAGAACUUUUGGAAUUCUUGGGAUCUGGAUUUGUGAUUGAGUUUUGCUGAGGCUAAAAUCAUCUUGAAACGUAAAAAGAGCGCGUCAGUAUUUUUUUUAGAACAAUUGGGAUCCAUCAGCGCGUGAGUAGUUUGAGAGGCAAGAUGCAUAUGUUUUGAUAAUACCAUGCACCUAUUCCAAUCUUUUGAAUGUUUGUUAAAAGUGUGUUUUGGUAGUAUGGAAAUGCUCUUCAAGGAACUGCUGGUAUCUAGUGUUUGCGGUAGAAGAAUAGCGUUUGUGUUGAUACCACAGUCUGUUCUUUUACCAGAUUGGAGAUGAAGUUGUUGGUUCGAUGCCUUUUUGAACCUUUUUGAACUAAAUUUUCUGCAAGCACAAAUGUCAUGUCUGCUUUUAGAACUAGAUACAGUCUACUUUUGGUUGGAUGCUUCUUUUCCUUCCAGGAUAAAAUCUCUUUCCAAUGCGCUUCUGCAUUCAACUCAUGGACGAUCAUGUACCCAAAAGUGGUGGAGCUUCUCUGAUUAAUUGAUAGGAGAUCAACACUUGAGAACAAAACUAGGGGUCUUCUUUGUAUUGUGAUUUCAUCUUCUUUAAUGAGGGGAAUCACCCUCUUGAAAGUAAUCUUUGUGAAGCUACUUCUCCCAUGCAUAUUUAAAAUUAAUCAGAGAAGCCACUUCUCAUCAACUCUUUCCUCCACUGUGUCUCUCUCAUCAGUCUUUUACAGUUUACCUAAUUUCAACGAGUGUAAAUACAUUAACUUUUGUAGUUCAGAGAAGUACGUUUUGUUGAAUAAUCUUAAUAUUCAAAAUACAGAUUCUGUAAUAACUUUGGAGUCCAAAAAUUCAGGAAAAAUCAUUUAAAGCGCUUCAAAUUAUUGUGCAUUAAGUCUUCAAUUUUACCCACCGCCAACUUAUUCUAAACAAAAAGGAGAGACUUCUCUUAGAUAUGAAAAUGAUUAUCUAGUGUUUUAAUGAUGCAUACUCAAGCAUAUUUAUUCCUGGUCUCUACAGGUUGGAUACCGCCAUAUCGAUUGUGCUCAAGUCUACGGCAAUGAGGAGGAGGUAAUUACUGCAAAUAUGCUGAACUGAUUUUGAUAUUCUGUGUUAUCAUCUUCAUCAUUGUAACUGUUGUCUGUAUAUAUCUUGUACAAUAUUGUAGGUUAAAUCAUUUUAAGCAAUUGAUUUUUCCUUCUGAUACUAAUCUGGGUAUAUUUCUUCGAUGUUCAAAGUUGAUUGGUUCUAUUAACUAAAAUCAUUCAACUGCUGUUCCCCAUUGUCUUUGAUGAUCACCGACACCCCUAUAACCACUUUACCACUUCAUAUGGCUUCUGCUACUUUCUAUGUCCCUUUCUAUUUGGGUGGUGGAUCCAACAUAAUGAAAAUCACUAUUUUGGAUCUCUGCUGGCCAUCAUUCUUCACUGUUUUUUGUUUCUAUUCUUGAGUUUACUCAAUUGCACUUUACAUAUUCAUUGAUUCUCCUGGUUUUGAUUCUGAAGUUUAUACCUGACAUAGGAAAAUUAUGAGGUAAACAAGUAACAUAAACCAUGGGACCUUUUUUUGCUUAUGCCUAGUCAAUUCAAUCAUAGCCCAAACAUAGGCUAUGGCCAUAGGGACACGAUCCCAACCCUCGACAUAAAUUGAACUUGCUAAUUCACAAAUGAUCAGUGGUCUCUGCACUGUUCAUUAUUCUGAUGUCUCAGUGUUUGAAAGUUAAUGACUUGUAACAAGGAUUUUAUAGCACUAUGAUAUUGUUUUCUUUUCUUCUAGAUCGGUAUUGUUUUAAAGAAGCUGUUUGAUGAUGGCGUAGUGAAGCGUGAGGAUUUGUGGAUUACCUCCAAGCUCUGGUUUGUCUCAGUUUGAUUUUGGCUUUCAUUGAAAAUAUUAACAUUAUAGCAACAAUAUAGCUAUCUGUUUCUCUUUAUCUUAAGAUGCUGCUGUUGCAGUGCUGUUUGUACUAUCCACUAGCUGAUUCAUUUUCCUUUUCUAGAGUAAACUGGUCUCUUGCAGUUCUUAGCUUCUACCAUUCACAACUUA
rnacentral:lncRNA from 1 species